UUCCCACAGCCCCAGGUCGGAAGGACCCGGAAGCAGGGCUGGCCGUCCACCCCCCACUCCUCUGGGCCCGGCCCUCCAUUCCUCCUGCUGGUGUCCCUCCCCUCCAUUGCUCUCCUUCUGAAAGCUCUGCACAGUCUCAUUCCAGCGGGUCAUACAGUCUCAUUUUCUUUUUGAAAACUUAAGUUUGGGCAAGCAGAGUCUCUACCGCUACACUUCUCCUUGUGACUGCCAGCCCAGGGCCCCUGGACCUCUGGAGGGAACCUGGCCCCACGCUGCUGUCCUAAGCAGCAGCCCUUGCCUGGCCUGAGGGUGGUGUCUCCAGCUCCCAGGAGAGCCCCAGGCACUGGAUGCCGGGAGCCCAGGUGCCUGGCGGCCACGGCCCAGCCCAGGUGCAGGGCGGCAGGUGGAGAAGGCUGUGCCCAGCGGCGUGGGAAGGAGGUCACCAGUAAAGGCGACCUGUCAGCAGCCACGGGAUGACACCGAGAGUCUGGCCGAAAGCCUCGGGCCUGGGCAGCAGAACUCCUUCUCUGUUCAGUGCUGCUGGCUGGCAAGGAGCUUUCCCGCUGUACCUCGCCUGCUGCAGAGGGGACUCAAGCGGCCCCUCCCUGUUUCACAAACCAGAAGCUGGAGCUCCAUGCAGAGGUCUCACUGCGCACUGGCAGGGGCCCAGGAAACAACGGCGCUGAAGCGGUGGGUGGCAGACAGCAUCAGCCUUCGGGAGGAGGGACCUCUGCACCGCUGCCCGCCAGCCCUGGUGACCCGUCGCCCUCCCUAUGUCUGCUCAUCUCCUGCUGAGGACUUCCUGUUUAUCACAGCAAGCCGCUGGCUGACGGCCUCUGUGUUGAGGCAUACGUCUCUAUUUUCCUUUGGGGGCUGCUGCUCCAAUUUUGACAUUGUGGCUGUUGUUAGUCCCUGUGACUUAUCCUCUAAUUCCAGAAAAGCCUGCAGAAUAUGAGUCUCAUUUGUCUUUGCAGGACCCCCAGCCCCCAGUUCAGGAGACGCUCGGUAGCGAUUUGUCUGUGGAGGGAGUUCCUCGGGAGUUAGCCAGGUAACCCCCGGCCCAUGUGCGAUGCACCCGGCUGGCUGCCACUUGCACCAUCGUCCUGCACAAGCGCCCCAGAGCCAAUGAAGGGGCAACAGCAGCAGCGGGGCCUCAGCCCCCAGUGCCAGAUGUGCUGACACAAACUCGCCGCAGGCAGAGGUUUUUACCCAGGGGAGGGCUAGUAACAGGCUCAGUUCUUGGGCUUGAGGAGAGGAUGCUCAAUCUCAUUGGGUCAAUUUAAAUAAUCUUACUUCCUGUGCUCCUCCAGUCACUUUGGAAUAGCAAAAGCAAGAGGCACAGCGGAACUCCGUGGACCAGCCCUCUGGUACCGGCGUGGGCCCUGUGGAAGGGCCACUCCUAGGAAGUAGCCUCCUCCUGCUCUUCUUUUGGCGUCCUGGCUCCUCACAUGUGAGGACUCCCCGGGUGUCUGGGAGAGCCCUGCGGCUCACUGUGGGCUCCUGUGCUGGGCUCUCAAGCGAAGGUGUGCGUGGGGCAGACCUGGGUCAGCAUCGCCUCAGGUCCGUGCCACGCUCGGCUCUGACGAGGCCAGGGGCGGUGUUCGGAGGCUGCCGCCUCCCCACUGCUCUGGCUCUGCCCCCUUUCUGUUCUCACCGUGCCGGCAGGAGUUGAGCGUGUUGGGUGUGAGAGAUGCGGGUGGAGUGCCCUGGGCAGGGGCACCGUGAGCUCAGCUCUUUCACUAACAGCUCGAGCUGCAGGGCCGGCCCAGCCGGGCUUUGAAUCCUUUCCUCUCAGAGGGAGGAACGCUCCUUUGGUUCUACGCUGACUCACUGUCCAUGGGCCUGUCUGUCCCUACAGCAGCUCGUCCAGCUUCUGUGGCCAGCGAGGCUCCUAAUUGGUGUCCUCCCUUGAGCGCGCUGGGUGCCCCUUGUGUCCGCAGAUGGGGAGGCAGAGGAGGCCGCAGGAGAGGCGGGGUGCCCAGAGAGACCAGAGGUAUGAGCUGGAGCUGGCCCGCACUUCUCCUGGCCUUUCACCGUGCGGACGGCUUGCCCCAGAGUACACAAACCCGCAGACAGAAUCCCAGCUCUGUUUGAGCAGGGCGCAGACAAAGCCUGCCCCGGCCGCGCUGCUCCCGCCAUGGUAACCACCGCAUUCAGUGGACCAUGGUAGCAGGCAAGUAUGUGCACGACCGUCUUGGCCUCUCUGUCUCUUCCCACAGGCAGACGGUGUGUGAAUGUUGUGUCCAUGUUUUCUUUCUUAUCCUGACAUAUUU
rnacentral:lncRNA from 1 species